AUGUCUAUGGUAUCUACGCUCCAGCGUCAAGAUCCUUGUCUUUCGCUAUCUACGUCAGAAGUCCAGCUGACCAAACUGAGGAACUUCAGCAGUACAAUGGAGGCUCUGGACAAGGCUCGCUCUCUUGUUCUACUUCUCGCCACUCUUGCCGCCGCCAUCAACUACACAGCGGGGUUAGACCCGCCAGGUGGGCUUUGGCAGGACAACACCGGCGGACACAUGGCCGGUGACCCCAUCCUUCUCACGACCAAUCCUAGGCGAUACAAGGCCUUCUUCUACUGCAACUCGGUUGCCUUCGUGGCCUCCUUGGCGGCCAUCGUCCUAGUCCAGAAGGAGAUUCUGGUCAAGCACCACGUGCUGGAGGCAGCCAUGCUACUCGACCUGUUUGGCCUCAUUGGCGUAUAUGCCGCCGGGAGCUGCCGGGACGUGAACACCUCCAUUAACGACAUGGCUUUGGCAGGCGCCGUCCUAGCCUAUGUGGUUAUCCAUGUCAUCUUCUUCACGCUGAACUACAAGGAAAAAGAAGAAGACGACCAAGCAAAUCAGUUGCUGGAGAAAAGGCGCAAACGGUUGCUCCUCUUCGCGAUCUUGGCUGCGACCAUUACCUACCAAGCCGGCCUCACCCCUCCUGGUGGCUUCCUGCUCCAGGAUGACAAGCUUGGGCACCACGCUGGCGAUCCGGUCCUCCUGUACAACUUCCCACGCCGCUACAAGAUUUUCUUCUACUUCAACUCGGCGAGCUUCAUGUUGUCCAUCUCCCUCAUCAUACUCCUGGUGAACCCCAAUCUGUACAGGCCAGCCAUACGAAGCAAUGCACUAUCUGUUUGUACGGCGGUGGGCUUGUUUUGUUUGAUGGGGGCCUAUGCCGCUGGAAGCACCCAACACCUCAAGACAUCCAUCUACAUCUUUGUGUUGGUCGGUGUGGUCCUUCUCGUUGUAGUUGGACUGCUGCUGGUAUUUUUGCUAAGGGAGCAGCAGAAUGAUGGCAAUUCAGCAGCUGUUGCGCCAUCCAUAUCCCAUGAACAGAAGCAGGAAGAAGAACAAGAAAGGAAGGAGGAUGAAGAAGAAAGGAAGAAGCACGCGAGGCGCAAGUACCUGAUGCUGCUAGGCGUCUUGGUGGCAAGUGUAGCCUACCAGGCCGGCCUAGAACCACCGGGAGGAGCGUGGCAGAGCAGUGGCAAUGGGUACGAGGCAGGCGACCCGGUGAUGCACGAUAACAGGAGGCCCCAGUACCUCGUCUUCUUCUACAGCAACUCCUUUUCCUUCGUGGCUUCCAUUGUUGUCAUCAUGAUGUUGCUACCGCACUGGCUGCCAAACAAUAAGGAAGAAGAAUGGGAGAAAUGGUCGCUGAGGGUGCUGAACUGGACGAUCCUACUGGAUUUGGUCACUCUCCUAGUGGCCUAUGCAGCCGGCUCCAGCAGGUGGUGGGAGACGCCUGUGUAUGUCGGCAUGAUCAUACUACUUGCCGUUCUGGGCUACUUUGCAAUCCACACGAAGCUGUCAAUAUGUUCCGAUCGUCACCGUCGUCGUUGCCACGACAGGCGCCAGAGC
rnacentral:rRNA from 1 species